ensembl:misc_RNA Metazoa_SRP Metazoan signal recognition particle RNA
GCCGGGCGUGGUGGCGGGUGCCUGUAAUCUCAGCUACUUGGGAGGCUGAGGUGGGUGGAUCACCUGAGGUCAGGAGCGCGAGACCAGCACAGCCAACAUGGUGAAACUCCGUCUCCUAAAAAUGCAAAAAAUUAGCUGGGCAUGGUGGCGCACGCCUAUAUUCCCAACUAUUCAGGAGGCAGAGGCAGGAGAAUUGCUUGAACCCAGGAGGCGGAGCUUGCAGUGAGCCGAGAUCGCACCACUGCACUCCAGCCUGGGCAAAAGGGCGAGACUCCAUCUUA